rnacentral:rRNA from 1 species
UACGGAGGGUGCAAGCGUUAUCCGGAUUCACUGGGUUUAAAGGGUGCGUAGGUGGAUAUGUAAGUCAGUGGUGAAAUCUCCAAGCUUAACUUGGAAACUGCCGUUGAUACUAUAUAUCUUGAAUGCUGUGGAGGUGAGCGGAAUAUGUCAUGUAGCGGUGAAAUGCUUAGAUAUGACAUAGAACACCAAUUGCGAAGGCAGCUCACUACCCAGAUAUUGACACUGAGGCACGAAAGCGUGGGGAUCAAACAGG